rnacentral:rRNA from 1 species
CUACGGGAGGCAGCAGUAGGGAAUUUUCGGCAAUGGGCGCAAGCCUGACCGGGCAACGCCGCGUGAGUGAUUAAGGCCUUCGGGUUGUAAAGCUCUGUUGUAAAGGAAGAACGAUCAGUAUAGGAAAUGAUACUGAUGUGACGGUACUUUACCAGAAAGCCACGGCUAACUACGUGCCAGCAGCCGCGGUAAUACGUAGGUGACAAGCGUUAUCCGGGAUUAUUGGGCGUAAAGGGAGCGUAGGCGGUUUAUUAAGCCUAUGGUGAAAGUGCGGGGCUCAACCCCGUAUGGCCAUAGAAACUGAUAGACUAGAGUGCAGAAGAGGGUAGUGGAAUUCCAUGUGUAGCGGUAAAAUGCGUAGAUAUAUGGAGGAACACCGGUGGCGAAGGCGGCUACCUGGUCUGUUACUGACGCUGAGGCUCGAAAGCGUGGGGAGCAAAUAGGAUUAGAUACCCCCGUAGUC